UGAGAGAGGAGAUGCAUCGAAGGUUUGAGAAUGCUCCUGAUUCUGCCAAAACAAAAGCUCUGCAAACUGUUAUUGAGAUGAAGGAUUCAAAAAUUUCCUCUAUGGAGCGUGGGCUCCGAGACCUGGAAGAGGAAAUUCAGAUGCUGAAAUCGAAUGGGGCUUUGAGUACUGAGGAAAGGGAAGAAGAAAUGAAGCAGAUGGAAGUGUAUCGGAGCCAUUCUAAAUUUAUGAAAAAUAAGGUAGAACAACUGAAGGAGGAACUAAGUUCGAAAGAGGCUCAAUGGGAGGAGCUGAAAAAGAGAGCGGCUGGUCUUCAGGCUGAGGUCUUUGCCAUUGGCCAGGUGAAACAGGAGCUGUCCAGAAAGGACACAGAACUACUCGCCCUGCAGACAAAGCUAGAAACACUCACAAACCAGUUCUCAGAUAGUAAACAGCACAUUGAAGUGUUGAAGGAGUCCUUGACUGCUAAGGAGCAGAGGGCUGCCAUCCUGCAGACUGAGGUGGAUGCUCUCCGAUUGCGUUUGGAAGAGAAGGAAACCAUGUUGAAUAAAAAGACAAAACAAAUUCAGGAUAUGGCUGAAGAGAAGGGGACACAAGCUGGAGAGAUACAUGACCUCAAGGACAUGUUGGAUGUGAAGGAGCGGAAGGUUAAUGUUCUUCAGAAGAAGAUUGAAAAUCUUCAAGAGCAGCUUAGAGACAAGGAAAAGCAGAUGAGCAGCUUGAAAGAACGGGUCAAAUCCUUGCAGGCUGACACCACCAACACUGACACUGCCUUGACAACUUUGGAGGAGGCCCUUGCAGAGAAAGAGCGGACAAUUGAACGCUUAAAGGAGCAGAGGGACAGAGAUGAGCGAGAGAAGCAAGAGGAAAUUGAUAACUACAAAAAAGAUCUUAAAGACUUGAAGGAAAAAGUCAGCCUGUUGCAAGGCGAUCUUUCAGAGAAAGAGGCUUCACUUUUGGAUCUGAAAGAGCAUGCUUCUUCUCUGGCAUCCUCAGGACUGAAAAAGGACUCACGGCUUAAGACACUAGAGAUUGCUUUGGAGCAGAAGAAGGAGGAGUGUCUGAAAAUGGAAUCACAAUUGAAAAAGGCACAUGAGGCAGCAUUGGAAGCCAGAGCCAGUCCAGAGAUGAGUGACCGAAUACAGCACUUGGAGAGAGAGAUCACCAGGUACAAAGAUGAGUCUAGCAAGGCCCAGGCAGAAGUUGAUCGACUCUUAGAGAUCUUGAAGGAGGUGGAAAAUGAGAAGAAUGACAAAGAUAAGAAGAUAGCUGAGUUGGAAAGGCAAGUGAAAGACCAGAAUAAGAAGGUAGCAAAUCUGAAGCACAAGGAACAGGUGGAAAAAAAGAAGAGUGCACAAAUGUUAGAGGAGGCGCGACGACGGGAGGACAAUCUCAACGACAGCUCUCAGCAGCUACAGACAGGGUCUUGCUCUGUGACCCCGGCAGGAGUGCAGUGGUGUGAUCUCAGCUCACUGCAGCCUCCUUCUACCGGGUUCAAGUGAUUCUCAUGCCUCAGCCACCCAAGUAGCUGGGAUUCCAGGCACAUGCCACCAUGCCUGGCUAAUUUUGUGUGUAUGUUUAUUAGAGACGGGGUUUCACCAUGUUGGCCAGGCUGGUCCUAGCGUCAUGUGAUCUGCCUGCCUCGGCCUCCAGAAGUGCUGGGAUUACAGGCGUGAACCAGCACACCUGACCUUAUACUUCAUGUUUUGAAUAGUUUAUGUUUAAUCUUUAUCAGAUGCCAUUUUGAUAUUCAAAGGUCAAUUUUACUAGUUAUGUUAAUAAGCACAUAGUAAAUGUAUUUUAUUUGUGAAGAUUAACACUUAACCUGCA
rnacentral:sRNA from 1 species